GACGAACGCUGGCGGCGUGCCUAAUACAUGCAAGUAGAACGCUGAAGGAGGAGCUUGCUUCUCUGGAUGAGUUGCGAACGGGUGAGUAACGCGUAGGUAACCUGCCUGGUGGCGGGGGAUAACUAUUGGAAACGAUAGCUAAUACCGCAUAAUAGUAGAUGUUGCAUGACAUUUGCCUAAAAGGUGCAAUUGCAUCACUACCAGAUGGACCUGCGUUGUAUUAGCUAGUUGGUGGGGUAACGGCUCACCAAGGCGACGAUACAUAGCCGACCUGAGAGGGUGAUCGGCCACACUGGGACUGAGACACGGCCCAGACUCCUACGGGAGGCAGCAGUAGGGAAUCUUCGGCAAUGGACGGAAGUCUGACCGAGCAACGCCGCGUGAGUGAAGAAGGUUUUCGGAUCGUAAAGCUCUGUUGUAAGAGAAGAACGAGUGUGAGAGUGGAAAGUUCACACUGUGACGGUAUCUUACCAGAAAGGGACGGCUAACUACGUG
rnacentral:rRNA from 1 species